GAUGAACGCUGGCGGCGUGCUUAACACAUGCAAGUCGAACGGGAAUUAUUUUAUUGACACUUCGGUCGAUUUAAUUUAAUUCUAGUGGCGGACGGGUGAGUAACGCGUGGGUAACCUGCCUUAUACAGGGGGAUAACAGUCAGAAAUGGCUGCUAAUACCGCAUAAGCGCACAGAGCUGCAUGGCUCAGUGUGAAAAACUCCGGUGGUAUAAGAUGGACCCGCGUUGGAUUAGCUUGUUGGCAGGGUAACGGCCUACCAAGGCGACGAUCCAUAGCCGGCCUGAGAGGGUGAACGGCCACAUUGGGACUGAGACACGGCCCAGACUCCUACGGGAGGCAGCAGUGGGGAAUAUUGCACAAUGGGGGAAACCCUGAUGCAGCGACGCCGCGUGAAGGAAGAAGUAUCUCGGUAUGUAAACUUCUAUCAGCAGGGAAGAUAGUGACGGUACCUGACGAAGAAGCCCCGGCUAACUACGUG
rnacentral:rRNA from 1 species